GACUUUAAAUGGCUAAAAACUUUGGGGGCAUGAUUCUGACUCACGCACAAUGACCACAAUGACCAGUUUCUAGGUGAGUGGGCUUAUUCAUAUUUUGGUGUACACACUUUUAUUGAGGUCUCUAAGAGCCAUGUCAACGAUGGCCAUACUCAGCUAAAGCAGUGACAGCUGACCAUACUCCACUCUUCCUUAGACAAGAGGAUCUUGCCAAAGAAUGAGUUCACUGGAGCAACGAACCAACCAAUCACAAAACGCCAAGCGGAGCUCCGAGAGCGGUUAUAUAGCCGUCAUUACCGCCUCCUUUUCUACUCCCCUCCUCCUCCCUAAGCUGCUGUUUCCUGUAAGAGGGAGGCAGAAAGUUGGCCCCUGUUCGUACGACGGCACGUGAUUUAGCCUCCAAGCUGCUGUGCCAAUUUGUGAGUCCAGGGUCUGUGCCACCAUGCCCUUUUACGGCUGCAAGGCGUGUGCCAGUGAACUGAGACCAGACGACGGAGGGGGAAAAAAUAAAAACUGAGAUGAGCAGCGAGAAGGAAGAAUAAGAGGAGGAAGAGGCCUUGAAGAGGAAGAAGCCUUUUACUGAAAUGGAAAAAUGACAAUAAAGUGAGGAACAGGUAGCUGAGAAGAGGCAGGGAUGGGUUCACUAACAGAUUAAUAUAUCCCCUGUCACGUGUUUGAAUGGCUCCAUGCGGAGGUAGAAUAGAAUUAAAGGUCAAUGAAUUCUUGCUUCAUUUAAAAAGAAAGAAAUUAAAAACGUAACGUAGCAUUAACCACAUUCAUUACAGUCGAGCGGGGACAAAUCAGCGCACACUUCAGAGACUCAUAAAAACACAUGACAACAUCCAUAUGAAUGUCUUUCUGCUUUUCCUGGAGCCUAUCUGCUAAGUGCAUAUUUUAAGUUUUGUGCAUUUGUGUGUUUGUGAGUGCAUGUGGGCGAUGCUCCAUUGAUUCUAGCAGACCAAUCAAUUAUUCUCUACUGUGGGUGUCACCACAUGACCACCGUGGAUCCAUACCCACAAUGCACUCUGCCCAUCAUUAGCGUGGAAAACAUCGAUUAGCACAUGGUAAACACCCUGCCAUGGCUAUGUCCACAUAACAAACAAGAUAAUAGUAAUUGCUUGAAAAGGCAAUUAAAAAAUGAAUUCUGUUAAUGAGUUAUGGAGCAAUAUGAAUGAAUGCAGCAAGAUCAGCUCAAUUAGUGUAUCUGGCAUAACAAGCUCCAUUUAAUCCAGUCCAAUACAAGAACCCCGCAGCAAUUCUUUUACAUAUUGAGCUUUUCUUCAGACUGUGUUCGAGGGCUGUUGAUUCAGCGUUAUGCACAUUGUGGAGGCAAAAAGGUGAAAGGUGGUUCAGGUUGAGCUGCAUCGACAUCCCUACAACAGUUUCAUCAAGAACCGAAUGUGAUAAAUUUCAUAUAGGAUUUAUAGGUUUUUGUGUUGGGUUUAUUAGAUGUGUCUAAGCUCACAGUAAAAAUAUUUUUGUUCCCCCUUCCCCUAAGGGACAGUGAGCCUGGUGUGUGUUUUCAUGAAUAAAAUAUUGUGAUAUUUGACAACUUGAAAGACAAUAUAUCCCAGGAGGGUGGAAGGAGAUGGACGAUGAUAUUUCAAUUCAUUCUAGUCGCCAGCAUACAUCUACUGUUUGUGCAACCCAAGAAAAAAGGCUCUGAGUGUUAUUCUCAAACCUUCUCCUCCCUCGAAUUUGUCGCAGCA